rnacentral:rRNA from 1 species
UGGAGAGUUUGAUCCUGGCUCAGGAUGAACGCUAGCGGCAGGCCUAAUACAUGCAAGUCGAACGGUAGAUUACUUUCGGGUAAUUGAGAGUGGCGCACGGGUGCGUAACGCGUAUGCAACCUACCCUAUACAGGGGGAUAGCCCGGAGAAAUCUGGAUUAAUACCCCAUAGUACUAUAUUGAGGCAUUUYGAGAUAGUUAAAGAUUCAUCGGUAUAGGAUGGGCAUGCGUCUGAUUAGCUAGUUGGCGGUGUAACGGACCACCAAGGCGACGAUCAGUAGGGGUUCUGAGAGGAAGGUCCCCCACACUGGCACUGAGAUACGGGCCAGACUCCUACGGGAGGCAGCAGUAGGGAAUAUUGGGCAAUGGACGAGAGUCUGACCCAGCCAUGCCGCGUGCAGGAAGACGGCGUUCUGCGUUGUAAACUGCUUUUAUCUGGGAAGAAAAGGCCCAUGCGUGGGACAUUGCCGGUACCAGAUGAAUAAGCACCGGCUAACUCCGUGCCAGCAGCCGCGGUA